rnacentral:rRNA from 1 species
UAAACUAUAUGGAUUUUAAAUAAAAAGACCCGAAAUAGUAAGAUCGAAAAAGUUAUACGGUUUAGUAAUUAGGUUAAAUAUGUAGCAUAAUAUUAUUUUAAUAACUUUUUAGAGGAGAUAUUCCAACAGUUAUUAUGAUAGCUGGAUUAGGAGGAAAAGUAUUAAGUACUUAAAACAAUUAUAAAGUGAUAAGAUUUUAUAAAGGAAAUAAAUUGUUUUUAGAUUGAUUAGGGAUAAUCCCCUAAAAGUAGGUGACUUCUGGUAUAUAUUAAAUAUAUCUUUUUAAAAUUACCCUUAAACUAGAGCUAAUUAAAAACUUUAGUUUAUAAUGUUUAAAUUAGUAUUUUUGUAUAAAUUUUAUUAAGGAACUCGGCAAAUAUCAUAUUCGACUGUUUAACAAAAACAUAGUCCGUUGUUGUUUAUAAUGGAUAUAUACUGCCCGGUGAUAUUAUUAAACGGCCGCAGUACCAUGACUGUGCGAAGGUAGCAUAAUAAUUUGGCCUUUAAAUGGGGUCUAGAAUGAAAGGAUAUACGAAUAGUAGCUGUCUCAACCUUAAUUAAAGAUAAUUUAUUUAAAAGGUGCAAAUACCUUUAUCCUAAUAUAAUAGACGAGAAGACCCUUAGAAUUUAAUUUAAAAUAAGUGUUCUAUUUAUUUUGGUUUUGUUGGGGCAACAAAGCAACAGAAUAUUAAUCUGCUUUUUUUAGUAUUAAGGUAGGCCGACUGUUAGUAUGGAUAUAAAAAUUACCUUAGGGAUAACAGCAUAAUUUAAUAAAGAUUGUGACCUCGAUGUUGGAUUAGGGCCAUAAUAAUUUAACCAAUUAAUAUGUUAGUUCUGUUCGAACUUCAUUACCUACAUGAUCUGAGUUCA